rnacentral:hammerhead_ribozyme from 1 species
AUCUAGCUGACAAGUGUUAAAUAGGAUGAAACGCACGUCGUGGAU